rnacentral:rRNA from 1 species
CAGUAGCCACGGUAAUACGUAGGUGGCAAGCGUUGUCCGGAAUUAUUGGGCGUAAAGGGCUCGCAGGCGGUUUCUUAAGUCUGAUAUGAAAGCCCCCGGCUCAACCGGGGAGGGUCAUUGGAAACUGGGAAACUUGAGUGCAGAAGAGGAGAGUGGAAUUCCACGUGUAGCGGUGAAAUGCGUAGAGAUGUGGAGGAACACCAGUGGCGAAGGCGACUCUCUGGUCUGUAACUGACGCUGAGGAGCGAAAGCGUGGGGAGCGAACAGGAUUAGAUACCCCCGUAGUCCCUGUCUCUUAUAC